UCUCUCAUUCUCUGUCUUGCUACUGCCACGUAAGACGUGCCUUGUGCCUUCCACCAUGAUUGUGAGGCCUCCCCAGCCACGUGGAACUUAAGAAGGAUAUGAAAGGAAGAGUGACAGAACACUCGGGAGUAACCUGUGUCUGGAGGGGACAGUCAUGGCAGCCGAGGGCAGGACACGAUCUGGGGGCUGAGCUGCAUCUGAAGCCGGAAGGUGCAGGUGUAUUCCCCGAGGCCGUCUUUACAUUCGCCCUCGUUCUGGCAAGGACUGGUCUCGCACUGGUCGCCAUCUGCAAAGAGAGGAUUUCGAAACUGGAGUCUGCAAGCCGUUUCCGGCAUCAUGGAAACAGUUUUGCUGUGCUAACCUUGGCACUGCUGUUCAGAUAACUGGAAAAGGCUUCCUGUUUCUCUGUAAACAACUCCUCCUCUUUGGACUUUAUUUGAUCCACCCCCUUUUGUGGCCGUGUGUACGUGAUGCCUUUACCUAGGGGGAUCACCGGCCCAGCUUUUCGAUUUUUGCCGGUGUUUUGCUGUGUGUUUACAGUCAGAGGUGACCACAGGGACCAGCUGGAAGGAUGGAGGAAAGAUGUUAACUAAGCCAAGGCUGUAGACGAGAUCAUGCUGGGUCAGUGUGGGCCCUAAAUAAAAGAGAACGUCCUUAUAAGAGAGAGAAAAAGUCACACAGAGGCACAGAGAGAAGGCCAUGCAAAGAUGAAAGCCGAGACAGGAGCGACGCGUCUGCAGCCCAAGGAUGCCCGUGAUUGCUGGGUGCUCCUGGAAGCGAGCAGAGAGCCUGGGACAGAGACUCUCUCAGACCCUCCAGAUGGAACCAACACUGCCAACACCUUAAUUUCAGGCUUGUCUCCAAAGCUGCGACAAUAAAUCGCUGUUAUUUUAAGGCGUCUGUAGUGCUUUGUUAUGGUUGCCCUAGGAAGCAAAUAUACUAUCUUUUUACUUUUUUACUUUUAAAAUUCUCACACAGCAAAACCAAUGUUUUGGUGUACACUUCUAUGAAUUUCAACACAUGGAGAGACUUCUGUAGCCACCAGCAUAAUCAGGAUGCAGUACAGGUCCAUCCUUCCCCCCAGAUUCCCCAUGCCAUCUCCCCCGCCUGCCAACCCUUGGCAAACCCCGUCCCACCACUAAUCUACUCUUUAUCACAAUGAUAACAACUUAUUGAGCAUGUCAUGUAAAUGAAAGUGUAUAUUAUAGGACCUUGUGAAACUCGCUUUUCAUUCAAUACAAAGCCUUUGAAGUUCAUGCAAGUUAUUGUUUUAUCAAUAGUUUCUUACUUGUUGUUGUUGACGACUAUUAUAUUGUAUGGCUAUACCCAGCAAAAGACAUUUAUCUUACUUCCAGCUUUUGGCAA